ACCCCAAAGAAACUGUCAGAAACGAGAAGCAUCGUUUAAAUAAAUACAGAUGACAACAACAGUGUGGAAAAGAAGCAUAAACAGAAUUUGUUACGCUUUUAUUUUCUAGAAUGCUACAACUGAGAAAUUCCUGCAAGGAAAAGCAGGUCUGGGCAGCCACCACAGGUGCUUCAUUAAUCUGUUGCAACUGACACAGAUUGACGCUUAACGUACUGCCAUGAGUGGAUGAUUACAAUCCCCAUACCCUGAAGGGCAUUUUCAUCAACUACAGUAUUCCUGUGCUGCUGUCAUGUACCAGUGUUUGGAUGGAAAACAUGGGGAUCUGGUGCAGUCUGAGAGCCUUCAGAGCACAUUCUGCCCAUCUCCCAAAUCAAGGAGAAAUUGCAAAAGCAUCUGUGGAGGUGUAUUUAAUUCUCUCCACUACAUUCGGUUACUUCUUUAUGAAUAAUCAAGAAUGGAAAAGAUGUAAAGAUUGGACUCUGAAGUAAACAGAAAGCUUACUCAACUCAUACCACUACACUCAUUAGGACAGGUGUUUGAAAUACGCCUGCAAUGCAUGCUUUCUCUUGAAGAUGGACUGCACUGAGCUGCCUGGAGGAAUGAAACUUGCUUGUCCUGGCUUUUCUCAGUGUACUUUGAAAGACGUGGGAGGGGGACAUCAGGGUGCUCAGAUCUGAGUACCUUCCCUUGUUAGUGCUGUAAGUUCUUUCUUAGCAGAGGAAACUGUGACCAAGUGAAUAUAUGUCAUUAUCUCAAAUGAAACAUGAUUGUAUUUCCUAUUUUUUCUAACAGCACAGAGGUCAUUCUAGACAUUUCCAAUCCUGUAAGUUCAUCAAUUUCAUCAGUUCUGACCUUUCCUUCAUUUUUUGUUACUGCAACUGUAUCUCAGCUUAGGCUAGCGGAUGCUUCACUUGUCAUUUUUGUCCCUGGCCCAUGGAGACAACUGAGAUCCAGGCACUCAAAAACCCAGCACGGACGUGCACUCUGCUGUUCAAGCUGGUUCCAGGCAUACAAGGAUAUAAGCAUGAAAAUGAUACUGUUCUAUACAUACCUGUUACCAAAAAGUAAUCUCAAUCAUCUUUGAACUGGUGAC
rnacentral:lncRNA from 1 species